GUGUGUGUUCGUGAAGCUUCAGGAGCUCUCAAGAACUCCAAACCCUAAACAUGAAAGAUCAUCCAAAUUGAAAGGCUAAAUGAUGCUUAAAUCUAUAAUCGAGCAUGGAUUAAUGAUCACCAACAUGAGGAGAUCAUAAGAUGAAAGUAUAGGAAUAUGAUGAUGUUAUGUUCAAUGUUCAUUUGGAUGGAUAGCAUGUCUACGGGCUCAAGUAUGGAGGCUAACUGGUCAAAAGGAAGCAUGGAACCUAUGCUUGAACUUGGGCGCACAAGGUAAGUGACAUCCAACUCACUUCUUAGUAUACAUAAGAACCUUCUUGUUAUAAAUGAAGGGAAGUCAUGUAUGGUAUGGAAUGAUUGAAGGUAUUAAGAUAAGUAUUAAUCUAGAUAGUCGAAGAUAGUUUGUGGGACUAAACGGGUUGAAUAAUUAUGUAUAAGUAAGGUAGCGGUAAUGAAAUUCGUUAAGAAUGUGGACCCGAGGCAAGGAUUCUUAGUCAAAAAUGUAGGGAAAGGUUUUACGGACAAUUGGAAACAAGUUAUGUUGAUAUAUGCAUGAACGGGUCAAAAUUUGGUAAAAGGGUAAUAAGCCGAAGGCUUAUAAGUCAUAAAGUUAGGUAGUCUAUAUAUUGGAUUUUUACUCUAUGUGAUAGAGAAUUAAAUUACGGUCGCGUAGGAAAAAGAAUCGGGUAAAACGGAUCAAAAACGAGCAAGUUAUGCGAGUUUUAGUGUGAAAGAUGGGAGCUGAUCUGGGCACCACCGUAGCUUACGGUGCCACCGUAAGCUACGGUGGGAACUGGGCAUUUAUUCCUGCCGUAAGGCAGACUAGAACUACCGUAAGCAUUUGGGGCCACCGUAAGCUACGGUAGCCACCGUAGCUUACGGUGGAGGUCUGAUGCAAAUGUAUUGUUUAUGUAAUUUCUUCGUUUUUCCUCGAACUCGGACCCCGUGAACCCAUUCCAAGCCUCGUUAAGUCUUUAUAAUGUUCCUUAACCUUACCAAAUGGCUUGGUAAGUUACGGAUGAGUAUGAAACUCACUUUUAAGAUCCGAAAUAUAUCUGAAAGAUAUUUUAAAAGCAUUUAUGACAUGUGAUUCAGUUCGGAACGUGUGAGCGUGUACGCGGGGUAAUGAAUUAAGUAUGUGAGUAGGUAUGCUUGUAGGUAUUAAUGUAUGUAUGUAUGUAUGUAUGAAAGCACCUAAGUAGGUAAGUUGUACGCCGUAAUGUAUGCAUGUAUGUAAAUAUGUGAGUAGGAUGUUUGUACGUAGUAAUGUAUGUAUAUAUGCAUGUAAGUAAGUAUGUGAGUAGGUAUGUUUGUAUGUAGUAAUGUAUGUAUGUAUGUAUGUAAACAUGUAAGUAGGUAUGUUUGUAUGCCGUAAUGUAUGUAUGAAUGUAAGUAUGUGAGCUGGUAUGUUUGUAUGAAGUAAUGUAUGUAUGAAUGUGUGUAGGUAUGUAUAUACGUAGUUAUGUAUGUAAUGCAUACGUGGUUUCAAUACACUUAAGUAUUGACGUUAUUAACAGUGUGCCUCGAGAAUGAAAUGUGGUGCAGGUACUCCAUCGAGGUUCGCUAAGGAUUAGGCACCCGGAUGGAAUGACUACAUCUAGAAAGAUAACGGAUGGAAAGAAUAUGUGGAUAGAACAAAUCGAGACUACACGAUUAAGAAUCUUGUUUGUAUAUAAUGUAUGCUAAUGUUUCGAUUGUAUGUGGUGGGUGCAGGUAGUACGAAUCACAGAUUUUCAUCACAAGGAGUAGCGAUCAAAGACCGAGUCACAAGUCAGAUUGUACGGGAAUACUUGACUAUGUAAAUUGAUAGUUAUAAGUUAUGCUUUUGUUAUGUAAAUGAGUAUAAAAUAUGCAUAUAAUGUAAGAAAGUGUUUCAUAAUGAACUUGCUAGUAGGUCAAAACGUUCUUAAUGAAAGAAAUUUUUAUGGA
rnacentral:lncRNA from 1 species